AGAGUUUGAUCCUGGCUCAGGAUGAACGCUGGCGGCGUGCCUAAUACAUGCAAGUCGAGCGAACGGACGAGAAGCUUGCUUCUCUGAUGUUAGCGGCGGACGGGGGAGUAACACGUGGAUAACCUACCUAUAAGACUGGGAUAACUUCGGGAAACCGGAGCUAAUACCGGAUAAUAUUUUGAACCGCAUGGUUCAAAAGUGAAAGACGGUCUUGCUGUCACUUAUAGAUGGAUCCGCGCUGCAUUAGCUAGUUGGUAAGGUAACGGCUUACCAAGGCAACGAUGCAUAGCCGACCUGAGAGGGUGAUCGGCCACACUGGAACUGAGACACGGUCCAGACUCCUACGGGAGGCAGCAGUAGGGAAUCUUCCGCAAUGGGCGAAAGCCUGACGGAGCAACGCCGCGUGAGUGAUGAAGGUCUUCGGAUCGUAAAACUCUGUUAUUAGGGAAGAACAUAUGUGUAAGUAACUGUGCACAUCUUGACGGUACCUAAUCAGAAAGCCACGGCUAACUACGUGCCAGCAGCCGCGGUAAUACGUAGGUGGCAAGCGUUAUCCGGAAUUAUUGGGCGUAAAGCGCGCGUAGGCGGUUUUUUAAGUCUGAUGUGAAAGCCCACGGCUCAACCGUGGAGGGUCAUUGGAAACUGGAAAACUUGAGUGCAGAAGAGGAAAGUGGAAUUCCAUGUGUAGCGGUGAAAUGCGCAGAGAUAUGGAGGAACACCAGUGGCGAAGGCGACUUUCUGGUCUGUAACUGACGCUGAUGUGCGAAAGCGUGGGGAUCAAACAGGAUUAGAUACCCUGGUAGUCCACGCCGUAAACGAUGAGUGCUAAGUGUUAGGGGGUUUCAGCCCCUUAGUGCUGCAGCUAACGCAUUAAGCACUCCGCCUGGGGAGUACGACCGCAAGGUUGAAACUCAAAGGAAUUGACGGGGACCCGCACAAGCGGUGGAGCAUGUGGUUUAAUUCGAAGCAACGCGAAGAACCUUACCAAAUCUUGACAUCCUUUGACAACUCUAGAGAUAGAGCCUUCCCCUUCGGGGGACAAAGUGACAGGUGGUGCAUGGUUGUCGUCAGCUCGUGUCGUGAGAUGUUGGGUUAAGUCCCGCAACGAGCGCAACCCUUAAGCUUAGUUGCCAUCAUUAAGUUGGGCACUCUAAGUUGACUGCCGGUGACAAACCGGAGGAAGGUGGGGAUGACGUCAAAUCAUCAUGCCCCUUAUGAUUUGGGCUACACACGUGCUACAAUGGACAAUACAAAGGGCAGCGAAACCGCGAGGUCAAGCAAAUCCCAUAAAGUUGUUCUCAGUUCGGAUUGUAGUCUGCAACUCGACUACAUGAAGCUGGAAUCGCUAGUAAUCGUAGAUCAGCAUGCUACGGUGAAUACGUUCCCGGGUCUUGUACACACCGCCCGUCACACCACGAGAGUUUGUAACACCCGAAGCCGGUGGAGUAACCUUUUAGGAGCUAGCCGUCGAAGGUGGGACAAAUGAUUGGGGUGAAGUCGUAACAAGGUAGCCGUAUCGGAAGGUGCGGCUGGAUCACCU
rnacentral:rRNA from 1 species